ACUCCAACGGGGGGCAGCCGUGGGGCCUAUUGCCCAAUUUGGUCCCCCCUGAUGCAGCAACGCCGCGUGAGUGAUGACGGCCUUCGGGUUGUAAAGCUCUGUCUUCAGGGACGAUAAUGACGGUACCUGAGGAGGAAGCCACGGCUAACUACGUGCCAGCAGCCGCGGUAAUACGUAGGUGGCGAGCGUUGUCCGGAUUUACUGGGCGUAAAGGGAGCGUAGGCGGACUUUUAAGUGAGAUGUGAAAUACUCGGGCUCAACUUGAGUGCUGCAUUUCAAACUGGAAGUCUAGAGUGCAGGAGAGG
rnacentral:rRNA from 1 species